CCCUUAGAUGCUCUGGGCCGCACGCGCGCUACACUGGUCGAUGCAACGAGUUUCUUUCCUUGGCCGGCAGGCCUGGGCAAUCUUUGAACAUCGAUCGUGAUCGGGAUAGAUUCUUGUAAUUUUUGAUCUUAAACGAGGAAUUCCUAGUAAACGCAAGUCAUCAGCUUGCAUUGAUUACGUCCCUGCCCUUUGUACACACCGCCCGUCGCACCUACCGAUUGAAUGGUCCGGUGAAAUCUCCGGACUGGCGUGAGUCGGAGCAAUCUGACAAACGCCGGAAAGUUGAUUAAACCUUACCAUUUAGAGGAAGGUGAAGUCGUAACA
rnacentral:rRNA from 1 species